rnacentral:lncRNA from 1 species
GGGGUCAAAUUUUGGGAAAUUGGUUGGAGUUGCCCUUAUAGCUCAACUCUUUUACAAUCCUAUGUCUCCACGUACGGUGAGAGACAUCUUCUCCCGCUCCUCCAACUGACAAGACACGACUUCUUUUUUUUUUCCAAGAACAUGCUUCUAUUUUUUUUAAAAAAAAAUAAGACACGGCUUCCGUUCUAGUGAUAAGGAGGGGCGGAUCUAGGCCCUUUGCAUCUAUACCUUAACUCUAUUGUCUUUUUUUUUUUACUUUUAACUCUAUUGUUUUAGUAGAGUUGACUAUGACAUCAUUUCCUGCUAGCUUCCCUCAUGGAGUCAUGCAUAGUGCUAAGGUUCCGUGACAAAUGCAGUGGUAAAACUUGCUACACUACUACAGAUCUAUAGAUAUAUCAAUGCAGAGUCUAAAUUCAACAUCAUUGUCAGAGUCGGCGGAAGAUAAUUGGUAGUGGUGGGACUUGCCUAUCACCGCUGGUGGCGAACCCAGCAGUAAAAGGAACGUACCAUUAUCGGGUAGAGCUUUGACUCACCAAUGAUAGGUUGAGUCACGGCUAGAUGUAGACUCUACCUGGCUAAGUGUCGCUGACAUUUCUAUUAUAUGACAAUCUUUGGGUCUACACCCUUUGUCCUGUGAUAUAGUGUAUUUUAUAAAGUUAAAGAUAAUUUAAGAGAACAUAAAAGACGUUACUCCAGUUUUAUUUUCUAAUGAGGUUCUAUCAUCAACAUGAUCAAUUGUGAUUGGUUGAUAAAUGUGAACUAUUUAAUGCAAAUUGGGUUUUAUCCAACAGUGACAAAGACGAUACUCAGUGCCGGACAGUGACCACUAUUUUCUUUUUUUUCACAUAGUAUAUAUUUAUUAUUACAUUUAAAUAGAUUUAGUUUUAAAUAUGAUAUUAUUAAUGCAUCACAUAUAUCCACUACCAACAAGAUUAUACUAUAAUUAUGCAGCGUGGUUUGGUCAAUAGUGUAUAUAUUACAACUAUAACUACAAACUAGACAUUAGUACGGAAACAGUUUGUUUACCGCUUAAGUUCUUUUUCACU